rnacentral:lncRNA from 1 species
CCCUAAGGACUAUGCCAUCCUAAAGGUGAAACCAUUGAGGCAAGAAGCCGUGGCGGGGAGUAACCAGAGUAGAGGCGCUGUUUAAGGGAAAAAGUAUCCAGAUUACCAUGUUAAUAGUGACAGAAGAACAUAUUAUUUAAGAAUAAUCUAGUAUAUAGUAAGCCAAUAUGACCAUAUUUUGUUGUGUACGUGAUUGAAGGGAAUAUUUUGAAAAAAGCAAAUUUAUGAAAAAUGAAUGAUAAUAUAUCUGAUGUGAUGGUAGAUAAAUUCAAGAUACUUAUUUU